rnacentral:rRNA from 1 species
AAAANANAGCUUUAAGAAAAGAUUUAAAGUGUAACCUGCCCANUGAUUUAUUUUUAACGGCCGCGGUACCUUGACCGUGCUAAGGUAGCAUAAUCAAUUGACUUUUAAUUGAAGUCUGGAAUGAAGGGGUAAACAGGACUGAGCUAUUUUUAUUAAUUUAUUUUGAAUUUACUAAAAGGGUGAAAAGGCCCUUAUUAUGAAAAAAGACGAGAAGACCCUAAGAGUUUAUUUAUUAUUUUGUUGGGGCGACAUAAAAUCAUUAAACAUUUUUAAUGAAAGGUUUAUCUUGUAUUAUUAAACUACCUUAGGGAUAACAGCAUAAUCUUUUUGGGUUUGUGACCUCGAUGUUGGACUAGGAAGUUUUUAGGCUAGCCGCUUAGAAAGAAGAUUCUGUUCGAAUUUUUAAAUCCUACGUGAUCU